UUAUGAUCAUACCGAUCACGGAACUGAGUUUGGAGUGAUUAUGGUGAUGUUUGGAGAACGGUGAAGCAAAAAGCAAUAGCUAACCGGCAUUACAGUUGGAAUUUUCAGUCAUCGGACCAUCGGACCACGUUCCAAAAUUCAUUGAAAAAAGAGAGUACCGUAUAAAGUGAAAGGGUGUUUGAAAAUCAACAAUGUUCGUAAAAAAAAACAAAAACUAGAGGAGCCUUAAUCUAGUGCACCGUGUUGUGUGAAUCGGCCGUGAAGAUAUCCUUGAGAGAACUUGGGUAUUGGUCUAAUCGGAAAAAAUCUGGAUCGGCGUGACAAUCAGAAAGGAAGGUAUAUUCGGGAGGCAGCGAGGAUUCGAUGUGGAUCGACGUAUCAGGUGACAGCAGUCGAACCAUCAUUUCAUCUAGUGUUUUUUACUGGACUGAACAAAAAAAUGGACUCCGUUGGUUUUAAUUUAAGUGAAUUCGAAACGUAGAUAAAUUGAUGUCAUAAAUAUAUCCAUUUCCAGAUAA